rnacentral:rRNA from 1 species
GAUGAACGCUGGCGGCGUGCCUAAUACAUGCAAGUCGAGCGAACGGACGAGAAGCUUGCUUCUCUGAUGUUAGCGGCGGGCGGGUGAGUAACACGUGUAUAACGUACCUAUAAGACUGGGAUAACUUCGGGAAACCGGCUCUAAUACCGGAUAAUAUUUUGAACCGCAUGGUUCAAAAGUGAAAGACGGCCUUGCUGUCACUUAUAGAUGGAUCUGCGCUGCAUUGGCUAGUUGGUAAGGUAACGGCUUUUCAAGGCAACGAUGCAUGACCGACGGGACAGGGGGGUAGGCGACACGAGAACUGGAACACGGUCAAUGCGCCUGCGGGAGGCAGCAGAAGGGAAUCGUCGGCAAUGGGCGAAAGCCUGACGGAGCAACGCCGCGUGAGAGAUGAAGGUCUUCGGAUCGUAAAACUCUGUUAUUAGGGAAGAACAUAUGUGUAAGGAACUGUGCACAUCUUGACGGUAACUAAUCAGAAAGCCACGGCUAACUACGUG